CUAAUUUCAAAAAUUCAGACUGUUUCUCACUUCUCAGAUCUAUCUGAAUAUCCCUGCCAAGUCCAAGUGACUCAGACAUUCCUUCUCUGAAAAUCUCUCUUGAAUUGAUAUUUUUUGACGACGAAUUUCUCCUCCGUCGUCUCUCUCAGCAAUGCCACCACCGACUGAUGCAGACUUCGAUCUCAGAUCGCCACCUCCAUCAUCAACCUUCGUAAUCGGGGAUUACACAUUUGCCGAGGCUGGAAACUUGGAGCAUUGUGCAAAGUACUUGAACCAAACACUCGUUAUCUUUGGAUUUCCGGCCUCGCUUGAUCUGUUUGCCAAUGAUCCGGUUUCAAUUGCCAGGACGUGCAAUUGCAUGUACUCAUUGCUACAGCAGAGGCAGCGGGAUAUCGAGUUUAGAGACUCUGCUAAUGAUCAGAGAAAUAGGUUACUGUCAGACAUAUCAAGAUUAGAGGCCAAAGUUGAGAGGCUUGACACACAGUUACAAUCCAAAGAUAGGGAGAUUGCGACAAUUACAAGAACGGAAGCCAAAACUGCAGCUGCUCUGAAGGCCCAAAUUGAGAAGUUGCAGCAGGAACGAGAUGAAUUUCAGAGAAUGGUUAUUGGCAAUCAGCAAGUGCGGACUCAACAAAUACAUGAAAUGAAGAAAAAGGAAAAGGAGUAUAUAAAAUUGCAGGAGAGGCUAAACCAAGUUUUAAUGGAGAAGAAGAAGGAGUCAAAGUCUGGCAUGGAGAUCAUGAAUUUGCUUCAGAAAGAAGGGCGGCAGCGCGGGACUUGGAAUGGAAAGAAGACUGAUAAUGACUUCUACAAAAAGAUUGUGGAUGCAUAUGAGGUGAAAAAUCAAGAAUUGAUGACGGAGAAUACUGAUUUAAGGGCGCUAUUACGAUCAAUGCAGGUGGACAUGCGCGACUUCCUAAAUGCUCCAAAUGGAUUGUCCAAGCAAUCUUUGGCUGUCAGUGAAAGAAUUGAAACUGAUCGUUUACAGUCUCCAAUGGGGGGAAGGACGGAUGUCUUUGAUUUGCCAUUUCACAUGGCUAGAGAUCAAAUAGAAGAAAGUCUCCGAAAUAAAAUGGCUUCCAUAAAGGAGCGCAUGGUUGAGUUGCAAGAUGCACAGAAAGGAGCAGAGGUUACUUCUGAAGCAACUGAGAGGGAGCUUGAGCUGGAAGCGCAACUUGUUGAGGCAAGAAGCAUAAUACAGGAGCAGGCUUCAAUUAUGUCCAAACACAUUGCUAAGUCUGAGAGGCCCAGGGAAUCCAUCAUUUCAUCGCCUAAUGAGGUAGUACAAUAACUUGUUCAUGAGACUUCUGUCCACCAUGUAUCAUCUUCAUCUUGCCAAAUUAAUCUGUGGGAGUAUGAGGUCAACAAGCAUGCAUGGUCUUCUGUAGAUUUUUUGCAUCCAAAUGAAGAUGGGUAUGUGCCACAGUGCCAGAUCCAUGGCAACCGGGCGAGUGUGUAAAGUAUGGGUUGGUGCUCCCAACCUGAGCGAGCAUCCAUCAUGUUUCAUUUGGUAUUGUUGUACAACCUUGAAGAAAUUAUUGUAUGCUGUGAAGCUUAUGCAACUACUAUGUUGCAAUUUUUCAGUUAUAUUGUAUUCUUCCUUGUAGUCAAUGUUGAUUCACCCAGUAAUAUGAUGUUAUAUUAUAUCAACUCAGCUUUUGAUACUACCUCAACUUUAUAUAAUGUACUUUGGUUAAUGUGGGAUCCUCACAAA